GCCAACAUGCCUGGAGUCCCUUUAUGACAAGGUCGAGAGUCAGAGCGCUCGGUUUCAGCAGUGUGUAAGUGGCUGUACAAGCCUCAAGAGCUGGAAGACACACCUGUCUACGGGCCUCCGAACAACCCAAAAACCUCCAGCACCCACGUAGAGUCCAGUUCAGAUUCUGGUACAGAGUCCACAUUGGACGGCUUGCUGCCAACAUGAUGGACGACGAUGGCGCUGACGAACCGCAGAUUUGGCAGAGAGUUCUGUGGGACGCGUCUCUCCCAGGAGGCUGAGGGAGGAAGAGCUGCUGACGUCUGAAGCAUCUGCUCGGGCGACCUGCUGACCAGCAGCGCAAGGACAGAGAGGUCUGCCUUAGUGUGAAAGGCAGAUAAAUAAACUUCGUAGAGCUCUUUCUUACUCCUCCUACAGUGAAGCUCUACUUAAACUAAUAUUACUUAAUAAUUCAUUUAUUGUCAUUUAGUAAGUUAUUUUUAUAUUAGAUUUUUUUAUUUGUCCUUUUUUAUCUCAUUUUCGUUCUUAGAUGCUC
rnacentral:lncRNA from 1 species